AUAUGUUAAGUAGUUUGGUCCACUGUACUUAGUGAACACUGAUAAGCUAAUAACAUUGUUGCAUUAGGUGCGGGAGAAAGCUUGGGCAUAGCUGAAAGAGAACUAAGAUACCUGACGCAUGAAGGAUCUCUGAACAAGAAUACUUCCAGACAGAGCGGAGCCAAAUCGACCCAUAGAGGUAGCAGUCAGCCAAAUGGAGACUGCAAAAGACCUGGGGCUGGGGAGGAAAGAAGUGCCCUCUGGGCCUCAGUGGCUGCCAGGGUGAUCUGCAAUCAGCAAUAAAACCCAGAGGGUAGAACCCACUGUGAAAUGAGGAGCAGGCCAGACAGACUCCAAGGUAUGCCUGUGUACUACUUGUGUGCAGUGUCCACGAAUGCCAGAGAGGGUGUUUGAUCCCCUGGAACUGAAGUUGCAGGCGGUGGUGAGCCACCACGUGGGUGCUGGGAUUUGAACCCUAGUCCUCUGGGAGGGUAGCCAGCACUCUAAACCACUGAGCUGGCUCUCCAGACCUCUAAUUUAUUAUUUUGGUAGUUGUCUGCAUUACACUAAGUUCUAGUAGGGGGCAAUGGUGGACGCCUACAAGGAGGAGCAGCUGGAUCCUCAGCAGGUGAAGGGCUUCCUGGACAAGAAUGAAAAGCUGACUGCUCCCUGAUGUCGCCGUGGAAGGAAAGAACCGCUUCAGACAGCUGCUCUCCACACACUUCCCCUCCCGUGGGUGGCACCGCGUGCCUGUGUUCACACACUCACCACAUGUGCACACAACAGUAACGGCAAAGAAGGGACAUCAGCCUGGACAGCUGUAUCACCUACAGGACCAUAAGUGUUUCUUCUGAUCCAGUUGUCACUCUGAGUUGAUGCCCUUUGGUGUGUACUUUAUGUCUUUGGGUUUUGCCGUUGUUGUUGUUGUUGUUGUUGUUGUUGGCUCCCUUUCUGGGAUGGGUGGAUGUGCAUAUGUUGUGCCUCCCCAGGAAAAGUCUGUCACACAGCAGCCUGACAACUGGACUUUAAAGCCCAGAGCCCAUAUCAGGGGAGAAUUGAUUCCCACAAGUUGUCCUGGUGACACACAGACCAUGAGACAAUGCACUCCCACACAUACGCGUACCCACACACAAAACACAUGUCAACUAAUUAUGAAUUUCAGAGUUUACUUUCUGAUUCUCUGUUUCUUACCAAGAAAAAACAGAGGAGAAUCAAAAGGGGUCAUGGGAAGAUAUAGCCAAGGAUGUACCUCUAGUGACCUUCCUCCAACAGGCCCCAACUUCUGCAUUCACCAGUGAACGGAAAUCUGUGCUUCUCUAAUCUCCCAGGAGUCUUGGUUUCUUUUCCUGUUGCUGUGAUAAAGACACCCUGUCAAAAGCAACUUAAGGAAGAAAAUGUUGAUUUGGCUCAAAACCCCAGGUCACAGCCCAUCGAGGUGGCAGGGGGAGAGAGUAAUUCACCCAUGCUUGUUCUGAGCUCACUCUGUCUCAUUCAGUGAAGGGCCUCCACCUCAGCCCUGAAAUUAAUAUUUUUGUAGUUGUCCCCCACAUUCAGGGUGGCCUUCCCACCUCAGUUCACUGAAUUAAGAAACUCCCUCACAAGCAUGCCCACCGGCUAAUGUAAGCUACGUAAUCCCCCAGAAUCCCUUGAGAAGCCCCUCCCAGGUAUUCCUGGUUGUGUCAAGUAGACUAUUAAAACUCACCACAUACUAGGUGCUUUUUAAAAAUGUGUGCAUGUGUGUGUGUGUGUUUGCACAUGUGCACAUAUAGAGACUCAAGGGUGUUGCAGGGAAAGGGGCAUCAGAGAACAGCUUUAUGAAGCGGUUCAUAAAGGAAAGGGUCUUUCAUCUUUCCAUGGGUUCCAGGGAUCAAACUCAGGAGUCAGGCUCGCCUAACAGUGUGUCCCUCACUGAGCCAACUCAUGGACCCUCCUGCAUACUUCUUAAUCAAGUUGACAAAAUUAACCUCUGCAAAGGCAUUCCCUUUGUUGUGGGUUUUUGCAUUAUUAUAAGCACUGCUUCAAUCUCCUUCUUUGUUCUAGGUCCUGCAUGAUUUUAUUUUUGUCUCUUUGUGUCAGUUUUGAUAGUUUUCACAUUUACAGGCCCUGCAAUUGUCAAUGUAUAUACUUCUUCCAAAAGCAGGUGGCAGGGGCUGGAGAGUGGCUCAGUGAAGAGCACUUGCUGCAACUUCCACAGGACUAGAGUUCUGGUCCCAGCAUCUACACUGCACAGUAGCAGAGCUACUCGUUAUAGCGCUGGCUUCAGGGGAGCUGAUGCCCUCUUGUGGCUUUCACCGGUACUGCAAUGCAUCCACUACCAUAGCUCUUUGAGGAAUAGAAUUUGAUGUUGCCAUCCAGGCACUUCAGUAUCCUGAAGAUCCAGUUGCUGAGGAAACUGAGGGAAGAGACCUACCACGAGGACACACAGAGACUAAGUAACCCAGCUUCACUUGGACUGAGUGAGACCCACUCCCCUUCUGACAAUGCACAGUAGCCUACUGCCUUCUGCACUGACUACGUGCACACUCAUCCCUCUCCAAACAGUGGAUCUGGCUUCCUCAGAACCUCCUCAAACCCCUGCCUUCCAAGCACUGUGUGUACUCUCUGAAGAGUAGUACAGAUUUCUCACUCCUAAUGACAAUCACAUUAGACCGUUUCUACUUAACUUUCCUCCCAAUGUAUCCAGUAGGAAGAAGAGAAGCGCCGGUUUCUGGGGUAUACACGCGGAGGCACAUUGUGUCUGUUGAGAGACCUUGGAGGUAGACCUUUACCAUCUUCUGCCUGUAUAUAGUUGCGCGUAAAUAUGAUUAGAGUAAGAUGCACUAUGUGAAGAGGCACUCAGUAUGACAUACUCUACCAAACUACAAUGUAACUAGCUGCGGCAAGCUCCUGUCUGCACAACCUCACUGCCUACCGUGGAUGCACAACUGGGAGCCAAAGUAAAACCUUAGGUGGCUCUUGUCAUUUGUUGCAGCGAUGAGAAAAGUGUUAGUGUGUGGCUAUGACCUUCUUUAUAUGUUUCUAAAAAGACAGUGUGCUGGGGGCAUAGGUCAUGGCAGGGCAUGUUCUCGGCAUGGCAGAGGUUCUGAGUUCAAGUCCCAGCACUGUGGGGGGAAACCCCAGAAAAAGCAAAACCAGGAUUAGUGAUGGGUGUGGGUCCUGGGGAGAACUAAGGUUGGUGGAGAGCUUGCUUAGCAUGUGUGGAGCCCUGGGUUCCAGCACUUGAGGAGUAAGGGGACAAGAUUAGGAGUUUAAGGCCAUCCGGGCGACAGAGACUCUGAGGUUAGUCUGGGGUGGGAUGGGGAGACACAGAGACAGAGAAUCUAGUUUUGUAUUACUGUUCUGGGAGGAACAGCUGACUAAGCGGCAGGAAACGGGGUGACCUCUCCACUGAGGCUCACGGGAAGGAGGAGGUGAGGCAGGGUGGGCAGGUUUAACCUGACAUCAUUUGAAUGGUUUCAGCAAACACAGGACAUUAGUUGCCAUUCUGUGUCCAGACGAGGCUCAAGGGUGAUAUGGUCGGUGGUCUGGAGUGUGAGCCCAAGAGAGAAGUGGCUGAGGGAUUAAUUUGACCUUAACAGGCAACCCUAGAGGGCAGACCUCUAGUCAGAGCCUCCUGUUUGAAUCAAAUGGGUGUUAAAAAGAAAAGCUAUCACAGAGCUGCCGUUAGGCCUAAUGACUUGAGUUCAAUUUCUGAGAGGAAAGCUAACUCCUAUAAGGCAUUCUCAAACCAGUGUGAUGAAUUCAGGAUAUCUCUGGUGACAUGGCCUCUGCUCACUGCAGCCUUAGUUCUACACAACAAUCGAACCGUGCACUGGCGACACCGAACAGAGCCAAUGAACACUGCAUAUGAAACUUAAUGAUUUACGUACAGAAAAUGCACCUUUAACACAUGUCUACCCCUAUUUCCCAGCAUGCAUCAACCCAUCUUUGUAUUGUAUUGGUUGGAUGUGUUGGUUCUUUGUUGGCUUAACAGUGCCUCCUCUGGCAAAGGACCCAGCACUCAUAUCAGGGGGCUUGCAAUUGCUUGUAACUGCAGUACAGGGGAUCUACCCUCCUCUGGUUGUACCUAUACACACAGUACACAUAAACUCACACAGGCUCACAACGCACACAUAUACACACAAGCUUAAAAAUAUUUUAAAACU